UACGUAGGGUGCGAGCGUGUCCGGAAUUAUUGGGCGUAAAGCGCGUGUAGGCGGCUUUGCAAGUCGGGUGUGAAAGCCCUCAGCUCAACUGAGGAAGUGCGCCCGAAACUGCAGAGCUUGAGUGCCGGAGAGGGUGGCGGAAUUCCCCAAGUAGAGGUGAAAUUCGUAGAUAUGGGGAGGAACACCGGUGGCGAAGGCGGCCACCUGGACGGUAACUGACGCUGAGACGCGAAAGCGUGGGGAGCAAACAGG
rnacentral:rRNA from 1 species